ACUCCUACGGGAGGCAGCAGUGGGGAAUUUUGGACAAUGGGCGAAAGCCUGAUCCAGCCAUGCCGCGUGCAGGAUGAAGGCCUUCGGGUUGUAAACUGCUUUUGUACGGAACGAAACGGCCUUUUCUAAUAAAGAGGGCUAAUGACGGUACCGUAAGAAUAAGCACCGGCUAACUACGUGCCAGCAGCCGCGGUAAUACGUAGGGUGCAAGCGUUAAUCGGAAUUACUGGGCGUAAAGCGUGCGCAGGCGGUUAUGUAAGACAGUUGUGAAAUCCCCGGGCUCAACCUGGGAACUGCAUCUGUGACUGCAUAGCUAGAGUACGGUAGAGGGGGAUGGAAUUCCGCGUGUAGCAGUGAAAUGCGUAGAUAUGCGGAGGAACACCGAUGGCGAAGGCAAUCCCCUGGACCUGUACUGACGCUCAUGCACGAAAGCGUGGGGAGCAAACAGGAUUAGAAACCCUGGUAGUCCCAU
rnacentral:rRNA from 1 species